UUCACAGAACACCAGCUUGUUGG
rnacentral:piRNA from 1 species